AGUAAAAUGACCGAAUAUCUAGGUGAUAAAUUGUAAAUUUAUUUAUGAGAAUUUUCUCUUUUACUA
rnacentral:tRNA from 1 species